GCAAGUCGAACGAAGUAGCAAUACUUAGUGGCAGACGGGUGAGUAACAUGUAGGUAUCUGCCCUUUGGCCUGGAAUAACACGAGGAAACUUGUGCUAAUACCGGAUAAGUCUUUACGGAGAAAGCUUUAUGCACCAUUGGAUGAGCCUGCACUUGAUUAGUUUGUUGGUGGGGUAAUGGCCUACCAAGACUGUGAUCAAUAGCUGAUUUGAGAGGAUGAUCAGCCACAUUGGGACUGAGACACGGCCCAAACUCCUACGGGAGGCAGCAGUGGGGAAUCUUGCACAAUGGAGGAAACUCUGAUGCAGCGAUGCCGCGUGAGUGAAGAAGGCCCUUGGGUUGUAAAGCUCUUUCGUCGGGGAAGAAAAUGACUGUACCCGAAUAAGAAGGUCCGGCUAACUUCGUGCCAGCAGCCGCGGUAAUACGAAGGGACCUAGCGUAGUUCGGAAUUACUGGGCUUAAAGAGUUCGUAGGUGGUUGAAAAAGUUAGUGGUGAAAUCCCAGAGCUUAACUCUGGAACUGCCAUUAAAACUUUUCAGCUAGAGUAUGAUAGAGGAAAGCAGAAUUUCUAGUGUAGAGGUGAAAUUCGUAGAUAUUAGAAAGAAUACCAAUUGCGAAGGCAGCUUUCUGGAUCAUUACUGACACUGAGGAACGAAAGCAUGGGUAGCGAAGAGGAUUAGAUACCCUCGUAGUCCAUGCCGUAAACGAUGUGUGUUAGACGUUGGAAAUUUAUUUUCAGUGUCGCAGGGAAACCGAUAAACACACCGCCUGGGGAGUACGACCGCAAGGUUAAAACUCAAAUGAAUUGACGGGGACCCGC
rnacentral:rRNA from 1 species